UACGGGGGGGGGCAAGCGUUGUUCGGAAUUACUGGGCGUAAAGGGCUCGUAGGCGGCCAACUAAGUCGGAUGUGAAAUCCCCAGGCUUAACCUGGGAACUGCAUCCGAUACUGGAUGGCUUGAAUCCGGGAGAGGGAUGCAGAAUUCCAGGUGUAGCGGUGAAAUGCGUAGAUAUCAGGAGGAACACCUGUGGUGUAGACAGCUUACUGGACCACUUCUGACGCUGAGGCACGAAAGCGUGGGUAGCAAACAGG
rnacentral:rRNA from 1 species